CCUACGGGAGGCAGCAGUAGGGAAUCUUCCACAAUGGGCGAAAGCCUGAACGAGCAACGCCGCGUGGGUGAAGAAGGUCUUCGGAUCGUAAAACCCUGUUGUUAGAGAAGAAAGUGCGUGAGAGUAACUGUUCACGUUUCGACGGUAUCUAACCAGAAAGCCAAGGCCAACUACGUGCCAGCCGCCGAGGUAAUACGUAGGUGGCAAGCGUUAUCCGGAUUUAUUGGGGGGAAAGGGACCGCAGGCGGUCUUUUAAGUCUGAUGUGAAAGCCUUUGGCUUAACCGGAGUAGUGCAGUGGAAACUGGGAGACGUGAGUGCAGAAGAGGAGAGUGGAACUCGAGGUGUAGCGGUGAAAUGCGUAGAUA
rnacentral:rRNA from 1 species